UGCCUGCCGGUGACCAUGAGUUUAACGGCCGCGGUAUUCUGACCGCGCAAAGGUAGCGUAAUCACUUGUCUUCUAAAUAAAGACUAGUAUGAACGGCCACACGAAGACUUGACUGUCUCCCUAGUCCAAUCAGUGAAACUAAUCUCCUCGUGCAGAAGCGAGAAUACACCCAUUAGACGAGAAGACCCUAUGGAGCUUUAAACUCAAAUUAAUUAUAUUUUACUCUUCUCUAAGGAACUAACAACUUUCUUAACUAAUAUUAGUUUUAGGUUGGGGCGACCAUGGAGAAAAAAAUAUCCUCCCUGAUGAUUUUCUAACCAAGAGCUACAGCUCUAAGUAUUAAGACCCUUAACUCCCAUUGACCCAUUUUAUGAUCAACGAACCAAGUUACCCUAGGGAUAACAGCGCAAUCCAUUUCAAGAGUUCCUAUCGACAAAUGGGUUUACGACCUCGAUGUUGGAUCAGGGCAUCCUAGUGGUGCAACCGCUACUAACGGUUCGUUUGUUCAACGAUUAAAGCCCUACGUGAUCG
rnacentral:rRNA from 1 species